GUGGAUUAGAUACCCUGGUAGUCCACACUGUAAACGAUGAAUGCUAGGUGUAGGGGGUAUCGACCCCUUCUGUGCCGGAGUUAACACAAUAAGCAUUCCGCCUGGGGAGUACGGCCGCAAGGUUGAAACUCAAAGGAAUUGACGGGGGCCCGCACAAGCAGCGGAGCAUGUGGUUUAAUUCGAAGCAACGCGAAGAACCUUACCAGGUCUUGACAUCCAGUAAAAUCUGUAGAGAUACAGUGUGCCUUCGGGCGUACUGAGACAGGUGGUGCACGGCCGUCGCCAGCU
rnacentral:rRNA from 1 species